AAAGGCCCAGUAGCGAGUUGACAUGGUGCCCGUACCCCAAACCAACACAGGUGGACAGGUAGAGCAUACCAAGGCGAGUGGGAUAACUAUGGUUAUGGAACUCGGCAAAUUUCCUCCGUAACUUCGGGAUAAGGAGGACCCCAGUAGCGUGACGAGACUUGCUCUCCGAGCGUGAAGGGGUGGCACAAAAUUGAGGGAAGCGACUGUUUACCAAAAACACAGCAGCGUGCUAAGCCGUAAGGCGCUGUAUACGCUGUGACUCCUGCCCGGUGCUGGAAGGUUACGGGGAUGGGUUAGUCCUUUGGGACGAAGCUCUGAACCUAAGCCCCAGUAAACGGCGGCCGUAACUAUAACGGUCCUAAGGUAGCGAAAUUCCUUGUCGGGUAAGUUCCGACCUGCACGAAUGGAGUAACGACUUCCCUACUGUCUCAACCAUAGACCCAGCGAAAUUGAAGUACGAGUAAAGAUGCUCGUUAGCUGCAGAAGGACGGAGAGACCCCGUGGACCUUUACUAUAACUUGAUGUUGUGUUUUGUCAUAUGUUGUGUAGGAUAGGUGGGAGACAAGGAAGCAUGGACGCUAGUCUGUGUGGAGUCAUCGUUGAAAUACCACCCUGCAUAUGGUGAGGCUCUAACCUAGACCCGUUAUCCGGGUUGGGGACAGCGUCAGGCGGGUAGUUUAACUGGGGCGGUUGCCUCCUAAAGAGUAACGGAGGCGCCCAAAGGUUCCCUCAGCCUGGUUGGCAAUCAGGCGUCGAGUGCAAUGGCAAAAGGGAGCUUGACUGCGAGACCUACAAGUCGAGCAGGAGCGAAAGCUGGGCAUAGUGAUCCGGCGGUUGCGUGUGGAAGCGCCGUCGCUCAACGGAUAAAAGGUACCCCGGGGAUAACAGGCUAAUCUUGCCCAAGCGUCCAUAGCGACGGCAAGGUUUGGCACCUCGAUGUCGGCUCAUCGCAUCCUGGGGCUGAAGCAGGUCCCAAGGGUUGGGCUGUUCGCCCAUUAAAGCGGUACGCGAGCUGGGUUCAGAACGUCGUGAGACAGUUCGGUCCCUAUCCUCUGUAGCCGUAGGUGAAUUGAGGAAAGCUGUCCCUAGUACGAGAGGACCGGGACGGACGCAGCUCUCGUGUGCCAGUUGUCCUGCCAAGGGCAUGGCUGGUUAGCGACCUGCGGAAAGGAUAACCGCUGAAAGCAUCUAAGCGGGAAGCCUCUUCCAAGAUGAAUUCACCCACAGGGUUAACCUGGUAAGGCCCGUGGUAGACCACCACGUUGAUAGGCCGGAAGUGUAAGCGUGGCAACACGUUCAGCUGACCGGUACUAAUCGGCCGAGGGCUUG
rnacentral:rRNA from 1 species